AUUGAACGCUGGCGUCAGGCCUAACACAUGCAAGUCGAACGAGUGGCGGACGGGUGAGUAAUGUCUGGGCAACUGCCCGAUGGAGGGGGAUAACUACUGGAAACGGUAGCUAAUACCGCAUACCAUCGGAUGUGCCCAGAUGGGAUUAGCUAGUAGGUGGGGUAACGGAUCACCUAGGCGACGCUCCCUAGCUGGUCUGAGAGGAUGACCAGCCACACUGGAACUGAGACACGGUCCAGACUCCGACGGGAGGCAGCAGUGGGGAAUAUUGCACAAUGGGAGCAAGCCGGAUGCAGCCAUGCCGCGGGUAUGAAGAAGGCCUUCGGGUUGUAAAGUACUUUCAGCGAGGAGGCGUUACUCGCAGAAGAAGCACCGGCUAACUCCGUGCCAGCAGCCGCGGUAAUUC
rnacentral:rRNA from 1 species